GCUAGUGUGGUAUAGUGGUUUGAAUAUUGUACUAUGACUCUGGAAACCAGAGUUCAAAUCUCUGUUCAGCC